GGACCCCGUCCAGCUGAGCCUCUGUCAUUUAAGCCAUUGGUCAGAUUCUCGUCGAUUGCCCAACCCGGGUUUGAGGGUACGCCUCCUUUUGGAAAUACGCAAAUAUAUUCAAAAGACUCUCCACCUGAUUGGUUCUCUGAUUAGUAUAGGACACGCCCCAUACACGUGCUUUUACUCUCCUCCCCAUUCUUUAGCUCUGGGCCGUGGACAGUAACUGGGCCGAGGCUGUAGUAACCGAAAAAAAGGUUGACCAUUGUGAACCUAAAAAUAGAUCAAGAAAUACCUAAUUAAAGUAAGGAUUGGCCACUUUCAACAACAUCCCAAGUCAAUGAGAUCAUCGAUUGGGUGUUUUACUUACAUAUGGCGACAUCGUUGGUAUAUAAACCGUUCACACAUUCCCCCCUCAUUUGGACCGCAUCCCAGAGGAGUGAUCCACUGCCAUGCUGUCAUAGUUAAGAAUAGAUCUGCUGCUGUACGCUGCAUUGGCCCUUUCACCCAGGCGUCCACAGCACACUGUGGUGUUGUUGAUAUGAAGGGAAACAGGUGUGGAAUUGCAACACUUACUAAUGGCGGAGAAAGGAUGAAAGCGAGGGAGCAUCAGGGGCGCCUCCAAGAGGUGGCUGUGAGGAAGACUAGCCCUCCUCCUCAACUGACUCAUCCUGAUAAAUCUAAAUCUAAAAUCGAUACUCACAGGUAUUGGACGGCUGAAUUGAAAUAAUUAGAGGUGAUGGAGAUGGAGACAAUCUCGAUGAGAAGGUCUCAUGCCGAGCCAUGCUUUGUGUUAACAAACGCAAGGGACGUGCGGCGAAUAAAAAGUCUCUCUCACCGACCUUGUCUGCUAUUGUGUGUUUUUGGUUCAUUAUGUUGGUUCAGAGUCCUUUCUGUGUAUGGCUGGACUAGGAAUUGGGCUAGAGAACUCAUCUUCAACCACAAUUACUUGACUCAGUGGGAAGCAGGCAGCAAGAAGAGGCUCAUGAGUCUAAAUAGUGCCUAACAACAAAUGUACAUAUUUUAGUCCAAAACCCAUUCAUAUACAUUUAUUGUGAAAUUAUUCAAGCAUUGACUCUGUAAAUAUUGCUACACAGAAAUUCGGCACGAUUCACUUUGUAUUCAAUUGUCAAAAAGAAAAUUACAAACUAUUGUUGACAUUUUUUGUUUACUUGUUUCCCUUUGCAGUUUUGCGCAGUACACCUAACCUAAAAUGUUACUUGAACAAUCAGUUUACAUCUCAUAUGGAAUGGCAUUAUUAAUAAAAACGAAUUAUUUAAUACGUACUCAAUUCUCCUACACACAUUGGCGACAGAACAUUGAGUCAUUAACUCAUGGUUUUCAACUAUUAUAAAAGGGAGCUAAAUCUUAAAAACAAUUAUUUUUAACAAAAAGAAUUUCAUUAAAAAAAAAGCACAAAUUCACAGUGCACUGAGGAACUGUAGCAUACAGACUUUUUCAAACAUUAAAGCCUUAUUGUAACUUAAUACAUUUGUGUAUGAAUAUUUAACAGUCUAAUUGCCACAUAAACCAGGUUGGACAGGUAGCGCACUUCGCUAACUUCUAACUUAUUGGGGCUCUCCCUUCUAAUCAUAACUCAUUUUAAUGCAGGGAAAUGUUUGCAAAAGGUGUCAAUUUGAUCGACAAUGUGGCAGGUGACCCAGUUGUAAUUAUGGGUCAGUCAUAAAGUUAACUUCUCAUUGAAAAUUACAGCUACAAUACCAUUGUUUCCAUUUUACUUAAUUCCUGGAACCUCCCAUUUUAUUUGCUUUUAUCAAUUAGUUUUUAUUCCUUGUAUGUGUUAUUUUCAUCGUAACCCUGUUUAUAUUGUCAUUGUGAUCCUGGUUUAAUGUGAUGAAAUGUCUAACUUAAGUAUUGAAAG